AAAAGUGAAAGACGGUCUUGCUGUCACUUAUAGAUGGAUCCGCGCUGCAUUAGCUAGUUGGUAAGGUAACGGCUUACCAAGGCAACGAUGCAUAGCCGACCUGAGAGGGUGAUCGGCCACACUGGAACUGAGACACGGUCCAGACUCCUACGGGAGGCAGCAGUAGGGAAUCUUCCGCAAUGGGCGAAAGCCUGACGGAGCAACGCCGCGUGAGUGAUGAAGGUCUUCGGAUCGUAAAACUCUG
rnacentral:rRNA from 1 species